AAAAGGUGGCUAUACUACCGCUUUUGGAUGGGCCCGCGACGCAUUAGCUAGUUGGUAGGGUAAAGGCUUACCAAGGCAAUGAUGCGUAGCCGAAUUGAGAGGUUGAUCGGCCACAUUGGGACUGAGACACGGCCCAAACUCCUACGGGAGGCAGCAGUAGGGAAUCUUCCACAAUGGGCGAAAGCCUGAUGGAGCAACGCCGCGUGGGUGAAGAAGGUCUUCGGAUCGUAAAACCCUGUUGUUAGAGAAGAAAGUGCGUGAGAGUAACUGUUCACGUUUCGACGGUAUCUAACCAGAAAGCCACGGCUAACUACGUGCCAGCAGCCGCGGUAAUACGUAGGUGGCAAGCGUUAUCCGGAUUUAUUGGGCGUAAAGGGAACGCAGGCGGUCUUUUAAGUCUGAUGUGAAAGCCUUCGGCUUAACCGGAGUAGUGCAUUGGAAACUGGGAGACUUGAGUGCAGAAGAGGAGAGUGGAACUCCAUGUGUAGCGGUGAAAUGCGUAGAUAUAUGGAAGAACACCAGUGGCGAAAGCGGCUCUCUGGUCUGUAACUGACGCUGAGGUUCGAAAGCGUGGGUAGCAAACAGGAUUAGAUACCCUGGUAGUCCACGCCGUAAACGAUGAAUGCUAAGUGUUGGAGGGUUUCCGCCCUUCA
rnacentral:rRNA from 1 species